rnacentral:rRNA from 1 species
GACGAACGCUGGCGGCGUGCCUAAUACAUGCAAGUAGGACGCAGUUGCGAACGGGUGAGUAACGCGUAGGUAACUACCUAUUAGAGGGGGAUAACUAUUGGAAACGAUAGCAAAUACCGCAUACUAGUAGAUGGACCUGCGUUGUAUUAGCUAGUAGGUAGGGUAAUGGCCUACCUAGGCAACGAGACAUAGCCGGCCUGAGAGGGUGGUCGGCCACACUGAGGCUGGGACACGGCCCCGACCCCAACGGGAGGCAGCAGUAGGGAAACUUCGGCAAUGGGGCGAACCCUGACCAAGCAACGCAGCUUAAGUGAAGAAGGAUGUAGGUUCGUAAAGCUCUGUUGAUGAGGAAGCGGUACUUAACCAGAAAGGAACGGAUGACUACGUGCCAGCGGCCGCGGUAAUUC